AUAUCUAUACGCAACCUGAUUCUAAAUAUUUUAUUUGAUCUCAACCUGAAGGAAAUGAACCAAACUCAACCCGACAUUGACACGUUGAAGAAGAUUCAUUACAUCUUGAAAAAUCCUUUCUUUGAUCAUACGUUUUUGCGUUAUCCACUUUCGAUUUUCAAAUUGCAAAUUCAAAGCUAAAGCUUAUUACUUUAACGGAAUCAAAUUCCAGAUCCAGAUCCAGAUCCAAAACCAACCUCUAACCCCCUCUCUUCCUGGAGUUCAAGAUCCAUUCUAUAGUUUGGUGAAGAUGGCUAUGAGGAUUGUGUACGGGGUAGUGUUCCUCUCUUUCUCAUGUACCUGCUUCAAGCUUCUCCAUCUCUUUCUACACCCUGUAUUCUACUUCACUUCCUGAUGAUUUCUUGCAAAUCUUUAAGCAAGAAGCUCAAAUGGGUUGGGCAGGAUUUACAUCUUCUUAGUUUAAUUUGUGUACAUCUCUUUAUAUGAUGGGUUGAACUUUUCAGUGAUGCAGCUGAACUAAGGUCAUCUGGUAUCCUUGCAAGUCCGUCCUUUUGCGUCACAGUUUGAGUGCUUUGUGUUAUUUUUCAUGAUAUUUCUUGCACAUCUCAUUACUGUUCUUUGUUUGCUUGGUUUUCCGACAAUGGUGUCCAUGUACUUUGUGAUAUAAUACCAGUUUAAGGAGAAACAUUUCCUGAUCAAUAUGUUGUCUGAAGAGCUUAUCUUAUGUUCAAGUCUCUGUUGGAGACUGGGAGUGCAUUUGCGUUUUCCAAUUAAGAAGAAGAAGAGGAGGAAGUUUUAUUGACCAUUUCCAUGUUUCUUUUUCUCAAAGGUCUUCAGAAACUGCUUCGAUUAUCCUGGAAGCUGGUUUUUCCUUCAUCUUGUAGAUUCUGGAGUUCUCUACUCUGCAGGGGGAUAGGUUUUCAAGCUGUACAUCUUGAGAUGUGAAUAAAUAUAACUACAAAUUAUCCUAAACAAAAUCGAAAAUCUAGUGGCUAAAAUCACCAGAUUCUGUCAAAGUUUACGGUUUUUCCAUCGAGUUUGUUGCCCUUGAAAUUAAUGAAGGGG
rnacentral:lncRNA from 1 species